GGGGCGGACGGGUGAGUAACACGUGGAUAACCUACCUAUAAGACUGGGAUAACUUCGGGAAACCGGAGCUAAUACCGGAUAAUAUAUUGAACCGCAUGGUUCAAUAGUGAAAGACGGUUUUGCUGUCACUUAUAGAUGGAUCCGCGCCGCAUUAGCUAGUUGGUAAGGUAACGGCUUACCAAGGCAACGAUGCGUAGCCGACCUGAGAGGGUGAUCGGCCACACUGGAACUGAGACACGGUCCAG
rnacentral:rRNA from 1 species